UAGGGAAUCUUCCACAAUGGACGCAAGUCUGAUGGAGCAACGCCGCGUGAGUGAAGAAGGUUUUCGGAUCGUAAAGCUCUGUUGUUGGUGAAGAAGGAUAGAGGCAGUAACUGGUCUUUAUUUGACGGUAAUCAACCAGAAAGUCACGGCUAACUACGUCAG
rnacentral:rRNA from 1 species